rnacentral:rRNA from 1 species
AUGGACACAUGGACGCCGGAGCUCCCUGUUCAGCUCAGCCACGUAGCUACCCUCUCCCGCGCAUCCUCCUCCGCCGCCGAAGUGCCUCCUCCUCCGCUCCCUCCUGCCUCGUGCAGCUCCCCUGCCCCCACUCGCGUGCCUCCCGCAACUCCGCCUUUCCACCCCCAAAAUCCAUUCUUCUUCCUCGGUGGGAUUCUACUGUGUACUCCCACCGGCAAUUCCCUCCUCUCCGUGGGCUUCUAUGGGGAGUCUGCUCCGCUCCGUGCCCCCGGCGCCAUGGGGGACGCUGCUCCACUCCUUUUCCAGCCUGAAGGUGUCAUUUUUGACUGUAAACUGGAUAUUUUGGUUAUCUCUGAAUGUUUAAUUACUGACAUUGAUAGAGUUCUGGUAAUCAGAGAUUUACUGAGAAGUUGA